rnacentral:miRNA from 1 species
GUGUGUGUAUAUAAUGCAGUGUGUUUGUGUAGUGUGCAUUAUAUAAACACACUAUGCAAACACACUGCAUUAUAUGCAAACAC